AGAUUAAGCCAUGCAUGUCUAAGUAUAAGCAACUUUGUACUGUGAAACUGCGAAUGGCUCAUUAAAUCAGUUAUAGUUUAUUUGAUGGUUUUUGCUACAUGGAUAACUGUGGUAAUUCUAGAGCUAAUACAUGCAUUCAAGCCCCGACUUCUGGAAGGGGUGUAUUUAUUAGAUAAAAAUCAACUUUGUUGGUGAAUCAUAAUAACUUCUCGGACCGCAU
rnacentral:rRNA from 1 species